rnacentral:rRNA from 1 species
GACAGAGGUGCCAAGCGUUAGGCGGAAUCACUGGGCUUAAAGCGUGUGUAGGCGGACGGGUAAGUACCUUGUGAAAUCCCACGGCUCAACCGUGGAACUGCUCGGUAUACUGCCCGUCUUGAGCCACUCAGGGGUCGUCGGAACAAGCGGUGGAGCGGUGAAAUGCGUAGAUAUCUGGAGGAACACCGGUGGCGAAGGCGGCAUCCUGGACCGAUACUGACGCUGAGGAGCGAAAGCCAGGGGAGCAAACGGG